GUGCGGGGGAGGAGCUGGGGCCGGUGCGGGGACCCGCCGGAACCUCGGAUUUGCAGAGGACCCUGUGUGUGCCCUCCCAGGCCCUUGGGGAGGUGACAGACACAUUCUGGUUUCAAAUUGAACAGCAUGCAUUGAUCUUGAGCCGCAUCUGUGUGAUUCUGGGUCACUACUUUUGGCUUUUGAAUAGUUACGAUGAGUGCUUGCAAGAAAAAGGAAGCUAUCACUUAAAAGUAAAAAACAGUUGUUCACCUGAGAUGAAUAGAUUCCAUGUGGAUGGGCUUCUUGUAUAUUAAACUUAUGACAUUUUAUAUGUGUUGAUAUGUGAUUUUUUUAAAAAAAGUAUAGGCAGCUUUUCAGAUUCACAAAGAGGUACUUUAAGCUAAAAAAGGUUAAGACCAUCAGAAACGUAGACUGCAGGAACUGAGAAGGAUUUGUUAGAAUACUAUGUGAUAUAAUUAGUAUAAAAAUAGUAUAUAUUUUAUAGAGGGAUACACACAAAACUCCUGCUAAUGGUAACCUUUAGGGAGAGAAGAGAGGAUUUAGGGUAAAGGGGGAGAAGUAAAUGUCAAAGGGAACUUAAGCAUUAUAGGUCAUUUCUCUCCCUCUCUCUCUGUUUUUGUUUGUUUGUUUGUUUUUGUUUUUGUUUUUGUUUUGAGACAGAGUCUCACUCUGUCGCCCGGGCUGGAGUGCAGUGGUGCGCUCUCAGCUCACUGCAACCUCCGCUUCCCGGGUUCAAGUGAUUCUCCUGCCUCAGCCUCCCGAGUAGCUGGGAUUACAGGCGCCUGCCACUACGCCCAGCUAAUUUUUUGUAUUUUUAGUGGAGACAGGGUUUCACCAUUUUAGCCAGGCUGGUCUCGAACUCCUGACCUCGUGAUUUGCCCACCUUGGCCUCCCAAAGUGCUGGGAUGACAGACGUGAGCUACCGCGCCCGGCCUCUCUCUCUCUUUUAGCAAGGUAGCAUCACUCAUAUAUUUAAAAUUUAAUUUUAAAAUAUAAAAGUCAAUAGAGACGUUGGUUUUGGAGCAAGGAAGUGAGCCAAGGAACCUAAACUGUGGAAGCAGACAAAAUCCAGAAAAACUUACACCUUAGGAAGACUGCAGAGAGAAGGGAAUAGUAAGGCAACAAGUUUUCAUAGGCCUGAGGUGUCUUGUUUGUUUAUGAAAUGCCAGUUUCAUAUUUAUGUCCUUAUAACCCAUUUUGACCUUGCUGACCUUUAAGGAUUAGUUAUCUCUUCAGCCCAGUUACUGGAUUCAGCUCCGUUAUAGUGUCUGACCCUGGACAGCAUUGGUAAGUAUGUUCUCUUUCCUGGCACUGGAUUAUUUUCUUUGAGAGUCUUUGUUGAUGUUGGCAAAUGAUUUUGAACUUCUUCCAACAGAUUAGGUUUAUGCCAGUACGUAUGAGUCUAGCAUUUAAUCAGCAAUCCCAAAAAAGUAUCUGAGGCACUCUGAUAUAAUUACUUUUCCCUAAGUGUUUAUUUUGAAAAAUGUUAAAGCUACAGGAAAAUUAAAAGAAUAAUGAUUUGCACUGUGUAUCCUUUACUUAGAUUCACCAGUUUUUAACAUUUUGGACCAUUUGCUUAAUCUCUGUCUGCAUGUAUUUACAUAUUUUUGUUUAUUUUUUGUUCACCAUUUAUGGGUAAGCUGCAGAUAUUAUAUAUUUCACCAUUGAGGAUUUCAGCACGCAUCUCGAAGAACAAGGUUGUUCUCCUGCAUAACCUCGAUAUCAUGAAUAUACAUAUAAAUUUUAACAAUGAUUCAUAAUAUUAUCUAAUAUAUAGUCCACAUUUAAAUUGCCCUAGUGUUUCCCAAAUGUCUGAUAUGUGUAUUUAAAAUAUCCAUCCUGGUCCCAAUUAAGGUCACACAUUACAGUAGGUGGGCCUAUCUUUUUAAUUUCUUUAAUCUAGAACAGCAUUCCCCCAGCCUGUUUUUGUAUUUCAUGACAUUUUUUAAGAGUUGAAGGGUCCAGAAUAUUUGUCUUGUAGAAUGCCUAACAUUCUGGAUUUGUUUGAUUGCUCUGUCAUAAUUAGGUUAAGUUUAAAUAUAUUUGGCAAGAAAACUAUGAAUGCUGGUGUGUUCUUCCUAUUGCAUCAUAUUAAGUGACACAUAAUUUCAGUUUGAUCCAUUACCAAUGAUACUAAAUUUUAUUACUUUGGUUCAAGGAGAUGUGCACCUGAUUUCUUCAUGGUAAAAAAAUACCUUUUUUUCUUUGAGGCUAAGAAGUAAUCUGAUGGGGAUAUUUUGAAACCAUUUCCCAAAUAGCCUUUUACCUGAUGGUUUUAAUAAUCAUUAAUGAUUCUUGUCUAAAUCAGUUAUUAAGUUAGGAGUUGCAAAAUGGUGAUUUUUAAUUUUACCAUUCCUUCUUGUAUAUAAAAGAGCUUUGCCUUUCCACCCUUUCCCUCUAUACCUCUUUAUUUUUUCUCUUUUGAAUAUCACUAUGGCUCAUGGAUUUUUAUUUUUUGUCCAAAGUACUUUAGCCUGUUAUCAUCCUCUGUGUUGCUCAAAUUGUUCCAAAUUGGCCUGUAAGAACCCCUGACGCUGGUGCCCGUGUCCCCAUUUGUCUUUGAGCACUUCCUUACUUUUUGACACAGGUAUUUCUUUUUUUUCCUUUUUCUUUCUUUCUUUUCUUUUCUUUUUUUUUUUUUUUCUUUUUUCAGGCAGAGUCUCGCUCUGUCGCCAAGACUGCAGUACAGUGGCAUGAUCUCGGCUCGGCUCACUGCAACCUCCACCUCCCGGGUCAGGCAGUUCUCCUGUCUCAGCCUCCCAAGUAGCUGGGAUUAGAGGCACCUGUCACCAUGCCCGGCUAAUUUUUUUAUAUUUUUAGUAGAGACAGGGUUUCACCAUGUUGGCCAGGCUGGCCUCAAACUCCUGAUCUCAAGUGAUCCACCCGCCUAGGCCUCCCAAAGUGUUGGGAUUACAGGUGUGAACCACCACGCCCAACCUGGCACAGAUAUUUCGUACUUAUAUUGUGCAUUCCCUGUCCCAGACUUGGAAUUAGCCACUUUGUGAGGAGAAUUUUUGAGAUGAUCUUUUCAAUGUAUAUUCUCAACAAAGAAAUAGUUAAGUAAUUUAUAGUACACAGGGAGCAGAAUGUUAUGCAUCCAAUAAACUUAGGAUUAUAAAUUUUAAAUUAACAAAAUGAAUCUUAAAAUUUUACGCAGUAUUAUGUCAGUGACAUUUUUCUUUUUUAAAGAGAUGGGGUCUCGCUCUGUCACCCAGGCUGGAGUGCAGUGGUGUAAUCAUGGCUCAUGGUAACCUUGAACUCCUAGGGUCAAGUCAACCUCCCUCAGCCUCCCAAAGUACUGGGAUUAUAAGCAUGAGCCACCCUGGCCAGCCCUAGGAAAAGAAAACUUUUAAAACCACCAGUGGUAUCACAAUCAAAAGAUAAACACAUAUCUUUUCAAAUGCCAUUAAAUAUUUGUACAGUCAUAUCAAAAACAUCACUUACUACAUACUAUUUUGUAAUCUGUUUUUUUCAUGUUUUAAAACAAAAUAUUGCAAUAAAAUGCAUAUACCUUUUAAAUGUUCAUAAUAUUUAAAAAGACAUCAUUAGUAUUUUGAAAUAAUGACAGAAAACAUUUUGAAUAUUACAAAAUUAAAAUUUGUUAAUAUGAUGUAUUUUAAUUGGAACAUAUUAAAGAUUACAUAGUGUCUAUUGAUCAUCAUAAUCCUUUUUAACCAUUCUACUGUUGUUGGAUUGAGAAUCCUGAAAUAUAUAUGAAUAGUUCCUCAUUCACAAUGGCCAUCUAUGUCAUGAAUCUUGACCCUGGCUUUGUGUGAUUAACAAUUUUUCAUUGCAGUGGCCAGUGACCUUCAAGACUUUUCCUAAAAGGAGUAGAGAUAACUGAAUUCAGAGAGAUUAUUUACAGAUUUUAUAUUGGAAACUAGAAGAAUCUAUCUGGCUAGGGAAGGACAUCUUCUCCCCCAAAUUAAAAUUUACAAUCUGGAGUAUCUUCUUCCUUUGUGAAUCCUGUGGAUUCUGUGUGCUUGCCUGAAUUUUUGUCCCUUGUUCUCAGAAAAUAAUUAGAGCUUUGCAGAAUCGUGUGGAGGCAACUCUGAUUGUAGCUUUCUUUAGCCCUUCCUAGGAUGGCCUUGCUUCCCUGACAACCAUGGAAAUGGGUCUUAAUUCCACAGCCAGAGUCUGACCAAUUUCUUAUCUUUUACGAUAUGCAAGAUGGUUUCUAAGUUUUUAAGCCCAUUAUAAUUUCCUUAUCAGAUAAUGGGAAAGAAAGAUAUGGUUAAAAAAGAAAUGAAAGAGUCUUGGUGAGGGAGGAAGAAUCAGGUAGAAUGAAACCGUUGGUUUUUCAAGCCCAGUUUUUCAGUCAACAGAAAUCAUAUUUUACAAUGUUAUUCGAGUAUUUGCCUUAGAGGCUCCAGUCCAUUGGAGGAAAUUGAGUCUACUUUAUUAUGACCUACCAAAAGAAUUUAACCUUCACCCUGUCUUUUAAUUAAAUUCGUAUGUUUCAAAGAUAGUUUCUAUUAAAUAUAGAGUAGAUACAAAAUAAUAUUUAUGAAGUAUAUGUAUUUUUUUAAUUCUCAAUACAGCAAAAACCUGUGUACCAACUACCUUUUUUAAGAAAGAAAAUAUUUAUUUUUUUGAGAUGGAGUCUCACUCUGUUGCCCAGGCUGGAGUGCAGUGGCAGGAUCUCAGCUCACUGCAACCUCCGCCUCUUGGGUUCAAGCGAUUCUCCUGCCUCAGCCUCCCGAGUAGCUGGGACUACAGGUGCGCACCACCAUGCCCAGCUAAUUUUUGUAUUUUCAGUAGAGAUGGGGUUUCACCUUGUUGGCCAGGCUGGUAUCGAACUCCUGACCUCAGGUGAUCCACCUGCCUCGGCCUCCCAAAGUGUUGAGAUUACAGGCGUGAGCCACCACGCCCAGCCAAAAGAAAAUAUUAACUACUAACUUUGAAGACUCCUAGACAUCUAUUCCCAUUUCUAUCCCCUUUUCCUUCAGACAUAACAAUUAUCCUGAGAUUUAUGUUUAUAAUUCUCUUGCUUUUCUUUAUAGUUUCAGCUACUUACUCCAAAACUAUGUUGUUUAUGGAUGUUUUUGAGUUUUAUAUAACUAUUUCAUAUAUCAUUCUGUGACUCGCUUUUUUGUCAACAUUAUGUUCCUGAGAUUAAGUAGUGUAGCUAUAAUCCAUUCAUUUUUAUGGUACAGUAUUCCAUUGCUUGACUAUAUUACAGUUUUUAAAAUCCAUUCUCAGUUGAUAGAAAUGUGAGUUGCUUCAAAGUUUGAAUUUAUAGUUCUAUUACGAACAUUCUUGUACAUGUUUACUGAUGGACAUGCAGAGGCUGUUCUAGGGCAAGGGUCAUCAAACUUUCUUGUGCAAAGGGACAUAUAGGAAAUAUUUUAGGCUUUGCGGGCCAUACAGUUUCUGUCACAACUACUCAACUCUGCCAUUGUAUCAUGAAAUCACAGCCAUAGACAAUAUGUAAAAGAACGAGUGUGUUCUAGUGAAACUUUAUGCCAAGGCAGGAUCUAGCCUGUGGGCCAUAGUUUGCUAAGCCCUGUUCUAGGAUAUAUAUGAAGAAUAUAUUACUGAACACAGAGUACAUAUACCAUGCAAAUAUUCUCAACUUUACUAGGCAAUAUGCAAUAUUUUCCAAAGGGGAUUUUCCAAUGUAUACUCUUUACUAACAUUUGAAAUGCUCAGAAUUUUAAGUUCAGGUGAUUCUGGUAGAUGUAUAUGCAGUAGAAUCUCAUUUUGGUUUUAAUUUGCAUUUCUCUGCUUACUAAUAAGGUUAAGAUUUUAAAGACUUGUUUAUUGGCCCUUCCUCUUCUGUGAAAUGCCUACUGAAACCCUUUGCUCAAUUUCUUUGGGUUGUCUUUUUAUUAUUAUAGGACUUUGUAAAAAUAUUUUGGAUGUUUAUUCUGUAUCAACUAUAUGUGUUGAAAAUAUCCCAGUUUAUAGCUUGUCUUUGUUUACAAUAGGGAUCUUUUAACAAAUAGAAAUUCUCUGUUUUAAUGUCAGAUUUAUGAAUUUUUUUCUCUAUGGCUUGUACUUUCUUGCAUUUUAAGAAAUCCUUCUCUAUAUCAAAGUCAUAAAUUUAGCUUCAUAUAUUAUCUUCUUAAAGGUUUAUAGUUUUGCCUUUCACAAUUUUUUUUAUAAAAUCUCUUAGAAUUCAUCUCUGUAGUAAGUUAAAGGAGAGAUACAAUUUCUGUGUUAUGUAUGUGUGCAUAUACCAGUUGUCCCAGAAUAUGCAAAGACCAACUUUUUCACUUAUCAGUAGUCAUAAAUUGGAUUAUUAUAUGUGUAUGGGACAUACAACACAUAUGUAUGUGUCACAUAUGUUGGGAAUUCAUUAUUCAAUUAUAUUGGUCAAUUUGUUCCCUGUGCUAUUUCCAUGCUGUAGCAGUUUUAUAAUAAUUUUUGGGAUAUAACACAAAAAUCUAUUUGAGACUUUAUUAAUCCUCUCCAUAAUAUAACUAUUUUUCUAUUUCUUGUAUUGUUUUGGUCUUUAUUAUUUCCUUGCUUUCACUUUCCUUGGAUUUAUUCUGCCAUUGUUUUCUCACAUUUUUAAGCUGGAUGCUAGAUAUUAUCAAUUUUUACACUUCUAAUAUAAACUGGUAAGGUUAUAACUUUUCCUCGAGGUCCAACUUUAGCUGCAUCCUACAGAAUUUUAUAUACAGUCAGUCUCCAACUUACAAUGGUUCUAUGAUUUUUUUAACUUUAUGAUGGUGUAAAAGCCAUAUGGAUUCAGUAGAAACGUAUUUCAAAUAUCCAUACGACAAUACUGUUUUUCACUUUUAGUUCAGUAUUCAAUAAAUUAAGACAUUCAGCACUUAAUUAUAAAAUAGGGUUUGUGUUAGAUGAUUUCAUCUAACUGGUAGGUAAUAUAAGUGUUCUGAUCAUGUUUAAAGUAGGUUAUGCUAAGCUGUCAUGCUUGGUAGGUUAGGUAAAAGCAUUUUUGACUUAAUGAUAUUUUCAACUUGUGAUGGGUUUAUUAGGGCAUAACCCCAUUGAGUCCAGGAGCAUCAGUAUAUUAAGUAGUAAUCUCAUCAUUCAGUUUUAAAUACUUUUAAAUUUCUACUAUGAUUUCUUUUAACCAUAAAUAAUUUAGAAUUAUAUUUCUUAACUAUAUAGGUCUUUCUAAUUUUCCUUUGAUGACAUAUAUCAAACAUAGCUACUUUUGUGGGCAGUGAAAGUACGGUAUAUAAAACUAGUCCUUUGAAAGUUUUCGAGAUUUGCCCGAUAGGCUAAUACGUGUCUAAGUUUUCUAAAUAUUCAGUGUGUCUUUGAUGAGAAUUUGUCUUUUGCAGCUAUUGUGUAUAAUAGUAACUGUUUUAAAAAUACAUAGCCAUUAAAUAAAGUUGUAAUUUUUGUUGAAAUCUAUAAUCUUACUGAUUGUAUCUCUUUUAUCUAUCAUUUACUAAAAGAACUAUGUAUAAUAUCUCGCCAUAUCUGUAAGGUUAUUUUUCCUUGUAGUUUCAUUAAUUUUUGGUUUAUAGUGUGUAUUUUUAGUAACUUAAGCUUGCAAUUUUUAUAUCUUCAUGGAAAAUUGAACAUUUCAUCAUGAUGCAGUUAGUGAUCACUUUAUAAUAAUGCUCUAGUCUGUUUUAUCUGACACUAAUAUCACAACACUAGCUUUCAUUUGAUU
rnacentral:lncRNA from 1 species